rnacentral:misc_RNA from 1 species
UCUCCGUUGGUGAACCAGCGGAGGGAUCAUUACAGGACUCGCAAGACUCCUACAACCCUGUGAACUUAACUAUAAGCACGUUGCUUCGGCGGGUGUCUCGGAGGGGGUUCUCCCUCCCCGAGACGCUAAACCCGCCGGCAGCCUACUAUACUCUGUCUCUUUGCGUUGGCAUCUCGAGUACAAUCAAACAAGUUAAAACUUUCAACAGCGGAUCUCUUGGUUCUG